rnacentral:rRNA from 1 species
UACGAAGGGGGCUAGCGUUGCUCGGAAUCACUGGGCGUAAAGGGUGCGUAGGCGGGUCUUUAAGUCAGGGGUGAAAUCCUGGAGCUCAACUCCAGAACUGCCUUUGAUACUGAGGAUCUUGAGUACGGGAGAGGUGAGUGGAACUGCGAGUGUAGAGGUGAAAUUCGUAGAUAUUCGCAAGAACACCAGUGGCGAAGGCGGCUCACUGGCCCGUAACUGACGCUGAGGCACGAAAGCUAGGGGAGCAAACGGG